GGGAGAACUGUAUCUCUAUUUCCUCUUCUUUUUGUUCUUUCUGUGACAGCUAUAAAAGAUGGUUAUGAGGAUUGGCGAAGACACAGGUCAGAUAGGAAUGAGAAUAAUCGGGAGGCUCUAGUACUUCAAUUCGGCAAGUUUGAGUUAAAAAGAUGGAAGAAUAUUAGGGUUGGUGAGGUUGUGAAAAUCCUUGCUGAUGAGACAAUUCCUUGUGAUAUGGUGUUGUUAGGAACAAGUGAUCCUAGUGGGAUUGCUUAUAUCCAGACAAUGAAUCUAGAUGGUGAAUCAAACUUGAAGACA
rnacentral:misc_RNA from 1 species